rnacentral:rRNA from 1 species
AUACGUAGGGUGCAAGCGUUAAUCGGAAUUACUGGGCGUAAAGCGUGCGCAGGCGGUUUUGUAAGACAGUGGUGAAAUCCCCGGGCUCAACCUGGGAACUGCCAUUGGGACUGCAAGGCUGGAGUGCGGCAGAGGGGGAUGGAAUUCCGCGUGUAGCAGUGAAAAGCGUAGAUAUGCGGAGGAACACCGAUGGCGAAGGCAAUCCCCUGGGCCUGCACUGACGCUCAUGCACGAAAGCGUGGGGAGCAAACAGGAUUAGAUACCCUGGUAGUCCACGCCCUAAACGAUGUCAACUGGUUGUUGGGGAUUUAUUUUCUCAGUAACGAAGCUAACGCGUGAAGUUGACCGCCUGGGGAGUACGGCCGCAAGGUUAAAACUCAAAUGAAUUGACGGGG